rnacentral:rRNA from 1 species
GGAGUUAGCCGGUGCUUCUUCUGUGAGUGAUGUCCUUCCUGCCGGCUAUUAACCCGCAGGCCUUCUUCCUCACUGAAAGUGCUUUACAACCCGAAGGCCUUCUUCACACACGCGGCAUGGCUGGAUCAGGGUUGCCCCCAUUGUCCAAUAUUCCCCACUGCUGCCUCCCGUAGGAGUCUGGGCCGUGUCUCAGUCCCAGUGUGGCUGAUCAUCCUCUCAGACCAGCUACGGAUCGUCGCCUUGGUGAGCCGUUACCUCACCAACCAGCUAAUCCGACAUAGGCUCAUCCGAUAGCGCGAGGCCCGAAGGUCCCCCGCUUUCCCCCGUAGGGCGUAUGCGGUAUUAGCCUGGGUUUCCCCAGGUUAUCCCCCACUACCGGGCAGAUUCCUAUGCAUUACUCACCCGUCCGCCGCUCGCCACCAGGGAGCAAGCUCCCCGUGCUGCCGCUCGACUUGCAUGUGUUAGGCCUGCCGCCAGCGUUCAAUCUGAGCCAGAAUCGAAACCUCGUACNCGUAGACGGCGGUCGGUCGACGACGGCGCAAGU